rnacentral:lncRNA from 1 species
UUAAGAUCUAGUAAGUUUGUGUCCUCACUUUUAUUCUCCAGGUUGCACACUUCCAAUUCUCUGCUACCCCCUGCAACAGCCUUGCUAAGCCAGCAACAUGAAAAUCCAUUAGACAGAUUCCUUGACUGUAGGGCUGCAAAGCAUUUAAGACUUUUAAAUAAAUAAGGCAGCCUGUACCUCUUCAGAUCUACUACAGGCUUCUUAUAAAGAUUUACACACUGGGUUACACAGAAUUAAGUUGAAACAAAAAUAAGAUCACUGCCUACAAAUGAAAUAAUUUAAUUCAGAGAAUGAGAGAAUGGGCACGGUGAAUUGAGAUCUCUGUUCCUGGAGAAUAAACACAUCUGUACAAAAUCCCUUCUAAUUUGCAGAAGAAAUUAUAGUGUAAAUUUCCAUAUUCGGCACACUUUUAAAGCAGACACAAAUUAAUGUCUGUGGUAAUAGUGAGAUGUGCUUGGCUUCUCUAAUACUGAUUGAUGUAUUCUGUCCAUACACACCUGCAUUUGAAAGCAUAGAAAAGAGGUUUAUUCUCUGUGAGAAGUGACAUUGAAAGCCUAGAACAGUCCUACAUUUGCAACAGAAACAGAAAGGACUUUUUGAAUGACUGGCUAGGGAUAAGUAGAAGAAAGUCCUAUUGUUUAACCACAUAAAGCACUGGAGACAAACCAAAUCUAUUUACGUAUGAAAACUCAGACCUCAAGCAAAUCCUACAGAAAAGGACACCAGACAGGAUAAAAGAAAGGCAUAAACCAGAAUUCCUUCUUCCCCCCAGAGAUUAACACAAAUUUCCACCUCUCUCAUUUAUCAUUAAAUUUCAGGCCUUUAUGCAACCACAAUGACUGUGCAAUGCUGGUCCCCUAAAUACACUAGAGCUUUGUUCACAAAUGUCUUUCCUCUUCUGAAAAUGCACACAAACAGGGGUAUAAAUUAUAUAGCAAAUAGGUGCUAUGUAUGCCAUUUCUCUCUACAGGUUAUACUGUAUGAUGCAAUAUAUUUAAGGAAAUGCUUCUGUAAUUUGAGCAAUGUGACUAAGUAUUACUCAGAAAGAGCAAGUGUAAUCCAAAGAUACAAGCCAAGAUUGUGUACAAUUACUACAAUAGUAAAGAGAAGAAAAAGGAAUAUUGAGACUCUUACAGAGAAUAUAGACAUGCUGUGUUCAUAUAGGAUAAAAACCAAAUGGCAAGAGGACUUUGAUAUUCUAGUGCAAUGAGAAGUUAAUUUUCACUGUGAUUUGAUAUAUUGUUUUUCUGUCAUCUGAUUCUGAGAAAAUGUCCUUCCCCUAUACCAAACUACUAUUUUAAUAUUUCAGUAGUUUACCCUUUUGUGUAAUGUAGCAUGUAAAAAAUAAUUUUAUUCCAUGACAUGAACAGCUUGUGAUGUUAUUUAGUAGUAAUGGAACAAGUUAGAAAUGUGGUCCUGUUUAAACUUGUGCUUACCUGUUCAGAACUUUGCAUCACUCCUUGUUAAUUUGCCUCUGCAUGACCUGUGUGAACUUCCCAUCAUCUUAAGCAACCCUAAUGAAAUUGUAGGCCGUGAGGGCUUUCAAUACAAGUAAUUAGCGCUACAGGUUUUUGUUAAACUCCAGAUUCAGUUAAACUGAAGACACUGUAAAAGGCUGAGAGGAAAAAUAAUGAAAUGCACUGUCCCUGUAGCCCAGGUGCUUUUAUAACUGAAGUAAGGACCUUAUUAUGUUGCCUUUUUGUAAUGAUUUAGAAGGUUCUGCUGUUUGAUGAGUCAGAAGAGUCUAAACAAGGGCUGGUAGGACUCAGGCAAUUUUAUUGUUUGUGACAGUGCCUGGUAUCCUUAGCCAAAAUGAGCUCUAAAUCUCUUACUCGUAUGUCUAGCCAGAUAAUCACAGGGAUGUUUCUGACCCAUGGAAGAAAUGCUUGUGAUUUCUGAAAGAGAGUAGUAAGAACUGUGAGGAAGAUUGAACUGCUAACAUGAAUUUUAGGCAGUGGUUUGACACAGGACUGAACUCUCUAUGCACUAACAAUUCUGAACAGUCUGCUCCGGUCACAUUUUUUUAAAUUCCAACAAAUCCAUGAUUUGCAUGGGAUUUCUCCUCUCCUUUUAAAUUGAGGAAUUCUCAAAGAUUACAUUCUCUUGAUAUGUUCUUAAUAACGUCUUAGCAUGAAUGCACUUAAGCCUCAUGACAACAGUUCAGCAAAGAGCUGAAACAGUCCCAAGCCUGUGUAUUUCAAUCGCAAAUGGAUUUGUCUCUGUAGAUUGCAUACCAACCUUAUCUGAAAAAUGUAAAUUCUACUGCUAAAAGCGCAUUCCUCUGAAAUCAGAUGUGGGCUUCAUUACUCAGGCCUGGUUGUUUCCAACAUUCAUGUAAUGAAUUUUCCUGAAUAGAAAGGCUGAAAGGGAGCCAGAAAAGUAAGGGAAACAGAUUUCUGCAGUGAAUAUUCAUCCCCUCCCAAGUUCCUCUGUCAUUUAAAAGCAAAUGGCCAAAUUCACUGCUGUUCAUCUGGAGCGAGAACCCCUUGCUAACCCUACUGCUUCCUUACAAAGCGCAACUGCCCCACAAGCUGCAGGCACCAGUCCAGCACACAUGGAGCAUCACCUACAGUUUAAUCCAUCACAUCUGCCCUGGAGCACAUGAGGAUUCUGCAGGGCCACCUUUGCUCCCCCAGAUAACCUGAGCUCAGGAGAGUUUGUCACGGUGCACAGACCGCAUCCACACAGGCCCUGAGGUGCCUGGGCAGAAGCUCAUCCUCACAGCAAAUCCUGGGUGUUUGCGAAGCUAGUUGUGGAGUUGGGAGUUGCCAGGAUCAUAGAACAGCCACUUAGGAAGCUUUAGCAUGUAGUUCAGGGAGCUUUGAAACUUCCAGAACAUAAUAAAAUCAAUAUAAGAUGCUUUUGCAAAUAAGACAGAGCUUUUAACUAGUUUGCUAAGAAAACAAACAAGUUAUUUCCUCAAGUCAUGCGCAUUGUCUAGAGUUAAAUCUAGUAGCUUCAAAUAAACCAAAGAUAACAAUGGAUGGAAAAAAUGUAUUUCUGAGGAGUUGUUUUCUGAGAAAAUGCAUGUAGUAUAUGAAACGGAAUAUGAACCUCAAACUGCUGUGGUAAUGUAUCCUCUACAGGCAGGCAUCAUGCAAACAGGAGUGAAUUCUUUCGAAGUGGCUGCAGGACACAAAGCUGCACACUGGAGAAGAAAAGACCCGUUCAUAGGGUUCCCUUUGACACAUACCCGAUUAAUGCUCCCAUUUCACAUUCCUCCCCAGCGGUCAGCUGAAUGACAGAGUGGGGGAAUUAGUUCCCCUGGCCCUCAGAGCAACCUAAUCCCUCAAGCAAAAUGAAUGGUAUUAGCUAAGCAGCAAGGCAAAUAAAACGUGUUCUUUUCAGUUAAGCAAAACUCUGUACCUGCAACAAAUGACUGUAACAUUAAAAAUACAUACCAAGUAGCACAUACAGAGACUCUAAAACAGGCUGAAAAAGGACAUGAAAAAUCCCCUAAGCCAUCAGCAGCAGAAUGAGUGAAACAUAAGAUCUUUAACUUGCAUCAAAGGACCUCAGCAUCUCCUUCCAAACUGCAUGAAGCUCCAAGCUCCAAAAAAUGAGAUCUCCUGCCACAACUCACCUCUUCCAUCAUCCCAUUUAGCCCCGAAGGUAACACGUGGGGUUUUCCAUGAGCUCUCUGCUGUAUCCCAUUUCCACUCUCACUCACUAAAAGAUGUGCUGAAGACUCUCACCCAUUCACCCAGCACCAGAGGAGAUACGGCA